rnacentral:rRNA from 1 species
AGAGUUUGAUCAUGGCUCAGGAUGAACGCUGGCGGCGUGCCUAAUACAUGCAAGUCGAACGAACUUCCGUUAAUUGAUUAUGACGUACUUGUACUGAUUGAGAUUUUAACACGAAGUGAGUGGCGGACGGGUGAGUAACACGUGGGUAACCUGCCCAGAAGUAGGGGAUAACACCUGGAAACAGAUGCUAAUACCGUAUAACAGAGAAAACCGCAUGGUUUUCUUUUAAAAGAUGGCUCUGCUAUCACUUUUGGAUGGACCCGCGGCGUAUUAGCUAGUUGGUGAGGUAAAGGCUCACCAAGGCAGUGAUACGUAGCCGACCUGAGAGGGUAAUCGGCCACAUUGGGACUGAGACACGGCCCAGACUCCUACGGGAGGCAGCAGUAGGGAAUCCUCCACAAUGGACGCAAGUCUGAUGGAGCAACGCCGCGUGAGUGAAGAAGGGUUUCGGCUCGUAAAGCUCUGUUGUUAAAGAAGAACGUGGGUAAGAGUAACUGUUUACCCAGUGACGGUAUUUAACCAGAAAGCCACGGCUAACUACGUGCCAGCAGCCGCGGUAAUACGUAGGUGGCAAGCGUUAUCCGGAUUUAUUGGGCGUAAAGCGAGCGCAGGCGGUCUUUUAAGUCUAAUGUGAAAGCCUUCGGCUCAACCGAAGAAGUGCAUUGGAAACUGGGAGACUUGAGUGCAGAAGAGGACAGUGGAACUCCAUGUGUAGCGGUGAAAUGCGUAGAUAUAUGGAAGAACACCAGUGGCGAAGGCGGCUGUCUGGUCUGCAACUGACGCUGAGGCUCGAAAGCAUGGGUAGCGAACAGGAUUAGAUACCCUGGUAGUCCAUGCCGUAAACGAUGAUUACUAAGUGUUGGAGGGUUUCCGCCCUUCAGUGCUGCAGCU